GCCUAUGGCCAUGCUACCCUGAGUAAGCCCGGUCCUGUCUGAUCUCAAAAGCUAAGCGGGGUCAGACCUGGUUAGUACAUGGAUGGGAGACCACCUAGGAAGACCAGGUGCUAUAGGCC
ensembl:rRNA 5S_rRNA 5S ribosomal RNA